rnacentral:rRNA from 1 species
GAUGAACGCUGGCGGCGUGCCUAAUACAUGCAAGUCGAGCGAAUGGAUUAAGAGCUCGCUCUUAUGAAGUUAGCGGCGGACGGGUGAGUAACACGUGGGUAACCUGCCCAUAAGACUGGGAUAACUCCGGGAAACCGGGGCUAAUACCGGAUAACAUUUUGAACCGCAUGGUUCGAAAUUGAAAGGCGGCUUCGGCUGUCACUUAUGGAUGGACCCGCGUCGCAUUAGCUAGUUGGUGAGGUAACGGCUCACCAAGGCAACGAUGCGUAGCCGACCUGGUAGGGUGAUCGGCCAAACUGGGACUGAGCCACUGCCCAGACUCCUACGGGAGGAAGCAGUAGGGAAUCUUCCGCAAUGGACGAAAGUCUGACGGAGCAACGCCGCGUGAGUGAUGAAGGCUUUCGGGUCGUAAAACUCUGUUGUUAGGGAAGAACAAGUGCUAGUUGAAUAAGCUGGCACCUUGACGGUACCUAACCAGAAAGCCACGGCUAACUACGUGCCAGCCGCCGCGGUAA